rnacentral:rRNA from 1 species
CGUUAAACGAAAGUUAAGCUCCCAACCCAAUGUGAACGUUACCAAACUGUUGCCUCGGCGGGGUCACGCCCCGGGUGCGUCGCAGCCCCGGAACCAGGCGCCCGCCGGAGGAACCAACCAAACUCUUUCUGUAGUCCCCUCGCGGACGUAUUUCUUACAGCUCUGAGCAAAAAUUCAAAAUGAAUCAAAACUUUCAACAACGGAUCUCUUGGUUCUGGCAUCGAUGAAGAACGCAGCGAAAUGCGAUAAGUAAUGUGAAUUGCAGAAUUCAGUGAAUCAUCGAAUCUUUGAACGCACAUUGCGCCCGCCAGUAUUCUGGCGGGCAUGCCUGUCCGAGCGUCAUUUCAACCCUCGAACCCCUCCGGGGGAUCGGCGUUGGGGAUCGGGACCCCUCACACGGGUGCCGGCCCCGAAAUACAGUGGCGGUCUCGCCGCAGCCUCUCCUGCGCAGUAGUUUGCACAACUCGCACCGGGAGCGCGGCGCGUCCACGUCCGUAAAACACCCAACUUUCUGAAAUGUUGACCUCGGAUCAGGUAGGAAUACCCGCUGAACUUAAGCAUAUCAAUAUCCGGAAGGAA